UACGUAGGGUGCAAGCGUUAAUCGGAAUUACUGGGCGUAAAGCGUGCGCAGGCGGUUGUGCAAGACAGAUGUGAAAUCCCCGGGCUCAACCUGGGAAUUGCAUUUGUGACUGCACGGCUAGAGUGUGUCAGAGGGGGGGUAGAAUUCCACGUGUAGCAGUGAAAUGCGUAGAGAUGUGGAGGAAUACCGAUGGCGAAGGCAGCCCCCUGGGAUAACACUGACGCUCAUGCACGAAA
rnacentral:rRNA from 1 species